GAAAUGCGAUAAGUAAUGUGAAUUGCAGAAUUCAGUGAAUCAUCGAAUCUUUGAACGCACAUUGCGCCCGCCAGUAUUCUGGCGGGCAUGCCUGUUCGAGCGUCAUUUCAACCAUCAAGCCCCCGGCUUGUGUUGGGGACCUGCGGCUGCCCGCAGGCCCUGAAAAACAGUGGCGGGCUCGCUGUCACACCGAGCGUAGUAGCAUACAUUCUCGCUCAGGGCGUGCUGCGGGUUCCGGCCGUUAAACGACCUUCAUAACCCAAGGUUGACCUCGGAUCAGGUAGGAAGACACGCUGAACUUAAGC
rnacentral:misc_RNA from 1 species